rnacentral:rRNA from 1 species
AGCUCUGUAAGCGUAUACCAAAGUUGUUGCAGUUAAAACGCUCGUAGUCGGAUUUUGGCGGAGGCCGUGGGCCGUCCGCGAGGACGUGUCUGUUGGCUGACGCCUUUGUGGAGGGGGGCUUGGUGGUGCUUUGCUGCAUCACCAAGUCGCUGCCACCGUUUACUGUGAAUAAAUUAGAGUGUUCAAAGCAAGCGAUUUGCCCUGAAUACAUUAGCAUGGAAUAAUAGAAUAGGACCUGGUCUUUUUUCUAUUGGUUUGUAAAGUUCAGGUAAUGAUUAAGAGGGACGGUUGGGGGCAUUUGUAUUCCGGCGCUAGAGGUGAAAUUCUUGGAUUGCCGGAAGACAAACAGCUGCGAAAGCGUCUGCCAAGGACGUUUUCA